rnacentral:siRNA from 1 species
UCUUUAAUGGAGUGGAAAGCCUUC